rnacentral:rRNA from 1 species
AGGGUUUGGAUCAUGGCUCAGGACGAACGUUGGCGGUGCGCUUAAUGCAUGCAAGUCGAGGGAGAACCAUUUGAUUCGUAAGAUUCGAAUGGGGAAACCGGCGAACGGGUGCGUAACACGUGAGGAACCUGCCCUGAAGAUCGGGAUAGCCCGGGGAAACCCGGAUUAAUACCGAAUAUCCUCUCCGGACCGCAUGGUCUGGUGAGGAAAUGGUCCGCCGCUUCAGGAUGGCCUCGCGGCCUAUCAGCUAGUUGGUGAGGUAACGGCUCACCAAGGCUACGACGGGUAGCUGGUCUGAGAGGACGAUCAGCCACACUGGGACUGAGACACGGCCCAGACUCCUACGGGAGGCAGCAGCAGGGAAUAUUGCACAAUGGGCGAAAGCCUGAUGCAGCGACACCGCGUGCGGGAUGAAGGCCUUCGGGUUGUAAACCGCUUUCAGGAGGGACGAAAAUGACGGUACCUCCAGAAGAAGGCCCGGCCAACUACGUGCCAGCAGCCGCGGUAACACGUAGGGGCCAAACGUUGUCCGGAUUUAUUGGGCGUAAAGGGCUCGUAGGCGGUUCAACAAGUCGAUCGUGAAAACCCGGGGCUCAACCCCGGGACGCCGGUCGAAACUUGUUGUGACUAGGGUUCCGGUAGAGGUUGAGUGGAAUUCUCGGUGU